CCCCUUAGUACAAAAUAAACUAAACAAGUUUGCAACUUAUAUAUUUCUUGUUGUGCUGGGUAAAAAGUGAAACAACCUCACUAGACCCAUUUAAGAAUAUAUGGCUUGAAGUCUUACAUAUUUGUUCAUCUCUUCCAAAGGACGGAUUUAGAGACCUCGGCCUACUUUUGGAGCCCUUCCUCUUCGUUGCUUCCAUCAGAGAACCAUGUAGCAGACUCCUGGUCUUAUUAGACAAGCCCGUGUCUUAUAUUUAAUUAAGCGAGUCAACCAUUAUUCCAUAAUAGAAAUUUCAAUGACACAAAUAACAUUAAAUCCUCCCAAGAAAUGCAUUCCCAGGCACUCCUUAAACUAAACCAUUCAAUCUUCACUUUAUUUACAGUUAUAAUUUGAGUGUGACCCAAAUUCUUUGAUGAAGAUAAUUGAGAAUUCUAAUUAAAGUAUAGAUUAAGAAAAAAAAUCUAUUUGGAAUGCUUUUGGAAUCCUAUUUGAAGACUAUUGGGAAAUUCUAGUUGAAGUUCCAUUUGGAAGUCCUACUGGAAGUUGAAAUUUGUGUUGGAUUUAAAGAGAUCAAGAUAAGGAAAUUCUGAACAUUCUAUUUCAUCCACAACUCUUCUUCUAGGGCUUGGAUUGUCCCUAUAUAUAAUUGACUCUUCUUCCAGAUUAUGUGUUGCUGAAAUUGUAUUUUUCUCUCCAUUGAUUGUCAAUUAAUAAAACUAUCAGGUUCCUUUGCUAAUCUCUCUUCUUUCUUUAAUCUUGUUAUUUCUUAUACAAUCAAUACUUAAUAUCGUGUCAUACUUGUGUCUCUGUUCCCAACAAGUGGUAUCAGAACAUAUAUAAUUCUUGUCAAGGAUCCCAACAAUUGGUAUCAAAGCAAUUGAUUGUGGUUUUUUUGUUAUCAAUGGCCAAACCAUGAAGUAUGAAAUUUCACUUUUGGAUCGCAAUACAAGAUUUUCAUUGUGGCAGUGAAGAUGGAGUAAUUGUGCAUGAUCAAAAGUCUGACGAGCAAAUUGCAUCUGAAGUAGAGAUUGUAUUCUCAUCACAUGGUAGAAAGCGGAUAUUUAGAAAAUCAUCUAGUUGUUUUCAAGGAGAUUUUCACUGAUUUAGAGACAUAAGAGGUAAAGUAUGAUGAAGAAGAUUUGGCCUUAAUCCCAUUGUAUUCGUUGCCCGCUUCAUUUACUUUAUUUAGGGACAUGAUUUUGUAUAGUCAUAAUACUCUCACCAUUGAAGACGUAUAUGAUGUCCUAUUCUCAAAGGAAAAGAUAAAGUAUCUAAAUAGAUCUGAGUCCAGAGUUGAAUGAGGUCUUGUGGUUUAUGGUGAUUGAUGAAGGGGUAAGUCAAGGUUGAGUUUCAGUAAUCAGGUUUGCUAUUAUUGCAAGAAAAGACACAUUAAGAGAUAUUAUAAAAAAUUGUAGAAUGAAGGUACUUCAACUGCAAAUUAGGGAAAGCAAUUAAACAUUUUUUACGAGACCAACAUAGUUUAGGACUAUUUGAGUGAUGGAGAUAUCUCAACGAUUUCUGAUGUGGAAUCCAAACUUGAUGAUGAGUGAAUUUUGGAUACUGCACAUGCAUUUCAUAUGUGUCCUAAUAGUGAUUUGUUUGAAGCAUAUGAAAUGGUGACGCAAUGUGUCAUUGUCAUAAAAAAUAAUGAACCUUGUCGAGUAGUUGGUAUUGGCACGAUCAGAUCGAAGUUGAUGGAUGGAACAAUUAGAACACUUGGCCAGGUUUGACAUGUUUCAGAUUUGAAGAAAAA
rnacentral:lncRNA from 1 species